rnacentral:pre_miRNA from 1 species
GAAGUACUCCCUCCAUCCCAAAAUUCUUGUCUUAGAUUUGUCUAGAUACGGAUGUAUCAAGUCACAUUUUAGUAUUAGAUACAUCCGUACCUAGACAAAUCUAAGACAAGAAAUUUGGGACAGAGGGAGUAGUUG